rnacentral:rRNA from 1 species
GACGGAGGGGGCGAGCGUUGUUCGGAAUGACUGGGCGUAAAGGGCGCGUAGGCGGUGCGCCAAGUCAGAUGUGAAAGCCCCGGGCUCAACCUGGGAACCGCAUUUGAGACUGGCACACUCGAGAUCGGGAGAGGUGAGUGGAAUUCCCAGUGUAGAGGUGAAAUUCGUAGAGAUUGGGAAGAACACCGGCGGCGAAGGCGGCUCACUGGACCGAGACUGACGCUGAGGCGCGACAGCGUGGGGAGCAAACAGGAUUAGAAACCCCCGUAGUCC